UUUCCCACUCCACACCUAACAUUUUUCUCAAACUUCUCCCUCUUCCAUAUAUAUAUAUAUAUAUUUUUUUUUUUUUUUUUCUUUUUAAAUCUUUCAUAUUUACAAAGAGAUGUGUGCGGACAUUAACAAUUGCAACGUUCUUCUACAAGCCCCCCAAAAAGCUAAAAAAAUCGGCGCUAAACAAAAAUUCAAAAAAAUUGAUGUUUUUUGUAAAAUUAAAAAAGAAUAAAAAAAAUGAAUUGGCUACUAACCCAAUCCCACUCUCUUCACUUUACUCUAUUCUAAAUAAAAUCCCUAGAAAUUCCCUCUCUUCUCUUCCCUUUGCGCCAGACUCACCAUGUAAAAAAUUUCAGGGAUUUUACAUUAAAUCUAAGCGGGAAAAGAUGGCGCUCGAGUGGACAUUUCGCAAUGACACAGUUUUCUUGUCAAAAUCCAGACUCUUCUCAACUCUUUCAUUCUACAAAACAAAGCAAAACCUCUUCCUCUCACCCCAAACCUACCAGCUCCAAUCUCUUCUUUUUGGCACGCCAAGACUGAAACCCAUAUCUCUCUCUACUAUUCUAUAUGUAGCGCCUCCCUUCCCUCUAUUGCACCCCCAACAAGGCAACUCAAGGAUAAUGUGAGUUUGGUACAAUGGCAGAGUUUUGUUAAGAAACGCUUUGGUUCAAAAUAUAAGGAGAUAAGUGAGAGAUUCAAGAAAAUGAGGGCAAAGCAAACUAUGCUACACACAAUGAGUCGCAAAGGCUAUGCUCGCCUUGAAGAUGAGAUGGUAAACUACAAUUUUUAUUUCUGUUAGUCAUAUUUUACUUUUGUAGAUUUUCUGGUUUAAAGUUUCAAUGUAUAUUUCAUGUAUGUUUGUACAAGAGUGAGUUCGGGUAUAUAUGAGAAGAGAGAGGGAAAAGAGAUGGGAAUGAUGGCUGCAACAAGCAGCCGACAAGAAAGAAGAAGGCAUGUUGCCUACCUAAUCUAAACCUUACACAAAGGCAUUACCCCAAUCAGUCUCCUCCCUUAAAUCAAGGGAAAGGUGAUUUACAUACCCUUACCCUAAAGAUUACAAUGAGCCUUACCCUAGAGAUUUACCUUGGGGGUCACCUUUGUAGUAGACUCCAUAUGCAGCAUCAGUAGAUGCAGCAUCACAACAACUUUUUAACAUAAUUGUGAGUGGUGCUGCUAUAUGAAGACUAUGAUCUAAUAUUCUCUCUUAGUGCUUUUUUUUUUUUUAAUUUCUAAUGAUUUAGAUAAGAGAAAGUGAAACACCUGAUGCAAUAACAAGGGAAGAUGUAUGGAUUCGUGGGCACACAAGGAAAUCUGAUGAAUUUUUAAACGAAGAGGUUGCAACUGUAGCGAUAAUGGAUGGAACAAUUUAUACUCAUUUGUAUUAGUAUUAUAGUCUUUAUUUUAAAAGUUAACAUUUUACUUUUUCAUCGUAGAAAAAAAAUACAAGAAGCAAAUAAGAAUGUAACAGAUGUUGAUAAGAACUCUAUUAAGAAUGAUGCUCUUGCCAAAGCGCUUGGACCCGAACGUAGAGGUAGAGUAAGGGGACUUGGGUUUGGUGCAACAUCUUAACAAGUGAGUGUUCAAACAUAUAAUCAUGAAAGAGUUAUUAUGUUGGAAAAAGAGUUGGAAGAUUUGAAAAAUAUUGUCCAUUCCCUACUAGUUGGACGGAUGGGGAAAAAUGCUAACUUAGUAAGUAUAUUUUUCGUACACUUGGUUUUUUUUCUCACUUACUAGCUAUAUAUAUUUUGGUCCUACAGAUUUGAGAACUAGCUCAACGCUUCCUUCUUGGUAUGUUGCUCUUUUGUGAUGAAAUUGGUUGCUCCAUGAACAUGGAGGGUGUGCUUGGGAUAUUGCUUUUUGGUAUGAUGUUGCCUUAUAUUUUGGUCCUACAAAUUUGAGAAUUAGCUCAAAGCUUCCUUCUUAGUAUGGGGCUCUUUUGUGAUGAGAUUGGUUGCUACAUGAACAUGGAGGGUGUGCAUGGGAUAUUGCUUUUUGGUAUGAUGCUGCCUUAUAUUUUGGUCUUACAGAUUUGAGAAUUAGCUCAACGCUUCCUUCUUGGUAUGAUGCUCUUUUGUGAUGAAAUUCGUUGCUCCAUGAACAUGGAGAUGAAGGGUGUGCUUAGGAUAUUGCUUUGUGGUAUGAUGUUGCCUUAUGGUUAUCAUUAGUUUCCUCUGUUAGCUUUAGGAUGUGCAUAAGUUGGAAGAGGAACAAAACAACUUAGGUUUUUUGUAAACUUCCGAUUGUAAUGUAAUUGACAAUUUUUACUAAUUAAUCUAAGUAUUUAGAGUUUAAUGCGUUUACGAUGA